AUCUAGCUAACGAGUCCUAAAUAGAACGAGACGCGCGUCUGAAAU
rnacentral:hammerhead_ribozyme from 1 species